rnacentral:antisense_RNA from 8 species
CUUCACCGAUCCCAGCCACAGCGGUGCGUCCUGCGGCCGGUCCUGCCCGUAGGUGGCGAGCAGGGCCUGCGCCUC